ensembl:snoRNA small nucleolar RNA SNORA2/SNORA34 family
CUGGCCCUAAAUCAAAGCCAGCAGCUUCCUGAUGCUGUUGGUUUCAAGCAGGAGCCUAAAGAGAUGUCUUUCUAUGGUCUGUUGGCCAUUUCAGAACUUGGGCAGUGAAAGGGCCAUUUAAUUAGAAAGAAACAGCU